rnacentral:rRNA from 1 species
AGAGUUUGAUCCUGGCUCAGGACGAACGCUGGCGGCGUGCUUAACACAUGCAAGUCGAACGGGCCUGCUCCUUGUGGGUGGGUUAGUGGCGAACGGGUGAGUAUCACGUGAGUAACCUGCCCCCUGCUCCUGGAUAACGCUCUGAAAGGGGUGCUAAUACGGGGUGUGCUGGUGCUGCCGCAUGGUGGUGCCGGGAUAGGUUCCCCUUUUUUUGGGGUUCUGGUGGGGGAUGGGCUCGCGGCCUAUCAGCUUGUUGGUGGGGUGAUGGCCUACCAAGGCGGUGACGGGUAGCCGGCCUGAGAGGGUGGACGGUCACACUGGGACUGAGACACGGCCCAGACUCCUACGGGAGGCAGCAGUGGGGAAUAUUGCACAAUGGGCGCAAGCCUGAUGCAGCGACGCCGCGUGAGGGAUGGAGGCCUUCGGGUUGUGAACCUCUUUCGCCAGUGAAGAAGGUCCUGCUCUUUGUGGUGGGGUUGACGGUAGCUGGGUUAAUGAAGCGCCGGCUAACUACGUGCCAGCAGCCGCGGUAAUACGUAGGGCGCGAGCGUUGUCCGGAAUUAUUGGGCGUAAAGGGCUUGUAGGCGGCUGGUCGCGUCUGCCGUGAAAUCCUCUGGCUCAGCUGGGGGCGUGCGGUGGGUACGGGCUGGCUUGAGUGCGGUAGGGGAGACUGGAACUCCUGGUGUAGCGGUGGAAUGCGCAGAUAUCAGGAAGAACACCGGUGGCGAAGGCGGGUCUCUGGGCCGUUACUGACGCUGAGGAGCGAAAGCGUGGGGAGCGAACAGGAUUAGAUACCCUGGUAGUCCACGC